AAGCGAUUCUCCUGCCUCAGCCUCCUGAGUAGCUGGGAUUACAGAAUAUUCAGAUGGGAUUACAUUUGAAUUAGAAGAAUAAUUAACAUUGCACAGUGAGGAAUACAGACUGUUGACACUGGUGAAGAGGAUGAGAGUGUCUACCUUUGUGUAAAGGGUAUUGUAUCUUACUAGGCUACAGCAUGAAGUGGUGGUGGUAUAUGGUGAUUAAAAUAUGUGUGGAAGGGUGUAUAUGGAUGCCUAGCAUCCUAAGGGGAGGACUGAGUUGGUUAUGAAGUUACUGGGUCUCAGCUCUAAAUCCUGCUCUGUGAUCCUGUGGCUGGGACUCUAAUAAUUUGUCAGCUGGCUUCUUGUUAAGUUCUGCCAGUAGAGGGCAUUAGAGGGAAACUGGAAGGCAAGGGUUGGGGGCCGGGGGUGGGGGGCGGUGGGAGGGAAGGAUCUUCCUCCUUCCUGGUGGCUUGCUGUUCUGUUAGCUGCCUGACAGCAGCUGUUGGGUCCAGUCUCUACUUUGGGGGUAGAGGGGGGAUGCUCAGAAGUGGCCUCAGAGGUUCCAGCACCCAGAACAGUUUUGCCUUCAUUCUCUUCCUUUGCUCCUUGUAACACAUAUAAAUCACCUCUUGGGGGUUUGGGAAUUGCCCAAGCUGAGAGGUAGCAAUAUCUCCUUGUUACAGUUAUCACGUUUCUAUAUUUCUUCCAGAUAGAGGAAGGAUUACAAAAAGGCAAAUGGCCAAACCUUGUUUUACUGGGGCAGGCUUUUCCAAAGGACCAGGCAGAAGCACCAUUUUAUUUAUUUGUUUUAAUUAAAAA